rnacentral:rRNA from 1 species
UACGGGCUUAAACAUGCAAGUCGAGGGGUAGCAGGGUAGCAAUACCGCUGACGACCGGCGCACGGGUGAGUAACACGUAUCCAACCUACCGUUAACUCGGGGAUAGCCCUCUGAAAGGAGGAUUAAUACUCGAUAGUAUAACAACACUGCAUGGUGCUGUUAUUAAAGAAUUUCGGUUAUCGAUGGGGAUGCGUUCCAUUAGAUUGUUGGUGAGGUAACGGCUCACCAAGUCUUCGAUGGAUAGGGGUUCUGAGAGGAAGGUCCCCCACACUGGUACUGAGACACGGACCAGACUCCUACGGGAGGCAGCAGUGAGGAAUAUUGGUCAAUGGGCGCGAGCCUGAACCAGCCAAGUGGCGUGAAGGAUGACUGCCCUAUGAGUUGUAAACUUCUUUUAUAGGGGAAUAACCGUCGGUACGUGUACCGGUCUGUAUGUACCCUACGAAUAAGCAUCGGCUAACUCCGUGCCAGCAGCCGCGGUAAUACGGAGGAUGCGAGCGUUAUCCGGAUUUAUUGUGUUUAAAGGGUGCGUAGGUGGGCGAUUAAGUCAGUUGUGAAAGUUUGCGGCUCAACCGUAAAAUUGCAAUUGAAACUGAUUGUCUUGAGUGUAUAUCGAGGUUGGCGGGAAUUCGUAGUGUAGCGGUGAACAUGACUUAGAUAUCACGAGGAACUCCGAUUGCGUAGGCAGCUCACUAAACUACAACUGACACUGGAG